GUGAUAAAGUCUGCCAUAAAUCGGAUGACGAUUGAAUACCAUAUGAUUUUCUAGGGGAUACGUAAUAUCUUUACGUUUUCCUUGCCGUUUCAUCCUCCUGGAGUAUGCUUUUUGGUUUUCCCGAUAAUUAAGGCUUUCAUUGAAAUGUCUUUAUGUAAUUCUGGACUUUGUUACUCCAAUUCAAAAAGUUACGAUAUCUUUCGGGUAUUUUUUGUAUUUGUAUGGAGAUGUGUGCCGAUUGAUUGGAGGUUGGUUCAAUGUUAUCCCCUUCAAGGUCCCAUUGGCUUCCCUCAUUUUGGGCACUACCAUGAUACAUAAACCACAUCAUCGAUAUCGAUGUCAUCAUGAAGCACAGGAGUCUUUGCAUUAUACAAACUUCUCUCAAAAUUUAUAAAUACUUGUUCCAUAUUUGUUUUUGUAAUACAUUUCCAUUUGACUCAAGAGGCAAUGGGAAUGUGAAGAGCAGGUGAUCAAAGAGCCAAACAAAAAAUAAAAGCUAAAAUUGCAAUUCAAA